rnacentral:rRNA from 1 species
AUUGAACGCUGGCGGCAGGCCUAACACAUGCAAGUCGAGCGGAUGAAGGGAGCUUGCUUCUGGAUUCAGCGGCGGACGGGUGAGUAAUGCCUAGGAAUCUGCCUGGUAGUGGGGGAUAACGUCCGGAAACGGGCGCUAAUACCGCAUACGUCCUGAGGGAGAAAGUGGGGGAUCUUCGGACCUCACGCUAUCAGAUGAGCCUAGGUCGGAUUAGCUAGUUGGUGGGGUAAAGGCCUACCAAGGCGACGAUCCGUAACUGGUCUGAGAGGAUGAUCAGUCACACUGGAACUGAGACACGGUCCAGACUCCUACGGGAGGCAGCAGUGGGGAAUAUUGGACAAUGGGCGAAAGCCUGAUCCAGCCAUGCCGCGUGUGUGAAGAAGGUCUUCGGGUUGUAAAGCACUUUAAGUUGGGAGGAAGGGCAGUAAGUUAAUACCUUGCUGUUUUGACGUUACCAACAGAAUAAGCACCGGCUAACUUCGUG